rnacentral:misc_RNA from 1 species
GAUGAAUAACGUAGCGAAAUGCGAUACGUAAUGUGAAUUGCAGAAUUCAGUGAAUCAUCGAGUCUUUGAACGCACAUUGCGCCCCCUGGUAUUCCGGGGGGCAUGCCUGUCCGAGCGUCAUUGCUGCCCUCAAGCACGGCUUGUGUGUUGGGCCUCCGUCCUCCUCCCGGGGGACGGGCCCGAAAGGCAGCGGCGGCACCGCGUCCGGUCCUCGAGCGUAUGGGGCUUCGUCACCCGCUCUUGUAGGCCCGGCCGGCGCUUGCCGACACAUCAAUCUUUUUUCCAGGUUGACCUCGGAUCAGGUAGGGAUACCCGCUGAACUUAAGCAUAUCAAUAAGCGGAGA